AUUGCUUCUCGGUCUUUAGGCUAAGAUCAAGUGUAGUAUCUGUUCUUAUCAGUUGAAUAUCUGAUAUAUCCUCUAUCUGAAGACAAUAUAUUAAAUGGAUUUUUGGAGCAAGAAGAUGGAAUAGGAGCUUGUUCCAUCUACUCUAUGCAUCAACCUGGUAUUGCAGUACUUCCAGGAGUGGUGCACCCCUC
ensembl:snRNA U2 U2 spliceosomal RNA